rnacentral:tRNA from 1 species
GGCGGAUUUAGCUCAGUUGGGAGAGCGCCAGACUGAAGUCAUAAUCGGUCUCUACAAGUAAUCUGGAGGUCCUGUGUUCAAUCCACAGAAUUCGCA